AGUGAACGCUGGCGGUAGGCCUAACACAUGCAAGUCGAACGGCCGCACAGUAAGCUCUUUCUCUUACCGUUGGCGACUGGCGGACGGGUGACGCAUACAUCGCCAUCUUCUUUUUCUUGGGUGAUUUCGUAGGUCCUCUUCCGCUACUACCUCAUACGUCCUACCGCUUUAUUCAUUUGUUCUUCUCACCUUUCGCUUUUCUUUUAGCCGAUUUCGCAUUAGCUAGUUGGCUGGGUAAAGUCACACCAAGGCGACGAUCCGUAGCUUAUCUGAGAGGAUGAUCAGCCACACUGGAACUGAGACACGGUACAGAAUACUACGGGAGGCAGCAGUGGGGAAUAUUGGAAAAUGGGCGAAAGCAUGAUGGAGCAAAACCGCGUGAGUGAAGAAGGACUUCGGGUUGUAAAGCACUGUUGUUGGGAAAGAAAAGAAGGAGAAGAAAACACGGAUGUAGUGACGGUACCAAAAGAAAAAGCAACGGCUAACUACGUG
rnacentral:rRNA from 1 species